UGAUUAAUGAAUGAUUGAUGGCGAUAUAUACAAAUGAAGGUGUAAAUAGCUAUAUCAUGAUAAUAUAAGCGAUAAUGGUACAGUAUAACAACCAUUGAA